AAAAAAAAGCACAAAAACUUGACUCUGUCCAGUCCCAAUAGUUGUUCAGUUUUAACAAACACGAGUGAGGAUGAAAAGAUACACGCCGAGGGUCAGAGAGGUCUAUGGAGUGAGAGACAGAGAGUGAAGGAUGCGAGGGCCUGUUUGAAGACACAGCUGGGAAAAGAAUAAAAGAAAGAGUGAAGUUAGUCACUCACCGACUCUCUCUGCCUGCAUGCCCUGAUGGGGGUCUCUUGGGUGGUUGAUGAGAAAAAAAGAUGUGUGUCCUAACCAACUAUGAUCUGUCAAGCCCCCUUCACCUUUCCAAACCCAUGUGUCCCUCUACAGACGUCAGAGAGCAACUGAGUGUGUUGGCUCUAUGGGAAAAGCAAAAGGGGGGAGAGAGAGAAAGAAUGACACACUGCAGGAAGAUAAUCAUUGGGCAAUAAAGUGACGUCUCAGAAUCUGUCUCACAAUGCUGCAGACACAAGCCUGUAAGAACACACGUGCACAGGAAACCGCACAGGAAACACUGCUGGAUUACACCUCUGGCAAAUGAUAUUUGGUCAAUAAAUGGUGUAUACAAACCAAUAUGUACACUAGGGCUAUGUAAAAAUAUAGAUUUUCUGAUUAAUCUUCCUUUGAUCUCAAUU